GACGAACCGAGCGAACGUUGUUCGGAAUCACUGGGCUUAAAGGGCGCGUAGGCGGGCCGCCGCGUCCGGGGUGAAAUCCUCCCGCUCAACGGGAGAACGGCCUCGGAUACGGGCGGCCUGGAGGGGGGUAGGGGCGUGCGGAACUGUGGGUGGAGCGGUGAAAUGCGUUGAUAUCCACAGGAACUCCGGUGGCGAAGGCGGCACGCUGGCCCCCACCUGACGCUGAGGCGCGAAAGCCAGGGGAGCGAACGGG
rnacentral:rRNA from 1 species